CAGCCGCCGCGGGAAUACAGAGGGUGCGAGCGUUAAUCGGAUUUACUGGGCGUAAAGCGUGCGUAGGCGGCUUCUUAAGUCGGAUGUGAAAUCCCUGAGCUUAACUUAGGAAUUGCAUUCGAUACUGGGAAGCUAGAGUAUGGGAGAGGAUGGUAGAAUUCCAGGUGUAGCGGUGAAAUGCGUAGAGAUCUGGAGGAAUACCGAUGGCGAAGGCAGCCAUCUGGCCUAAUACUGACGCUGAGGUACAAAAGCAUGGGGAGCAAACAGGAUUAGAUACCCCGGUAGUCCCUGUCUCUUAUAC
rnacentral:rRNA from 1 species